ensembl:rRNA 5S_rRNA 5S ribosomal RNA
GUCUACGGCCAUACCACCCUGAAUGCUCCCGAUCUCGUCUGAUCUCGGAAGCUAAGCAGGGUCGGGCCUGGUUAGUACUUGGAUGGGAGAUCUGUAAACCAAGCAAGACG